rnacentral:rRNA from 1 species
GAUGAACGCUAGCGGCAGGCCUAAUACAUGCCAGUCGAGGGGUAUGGGUUGCUUGCAACCCAGAGACCGGCGCACGGGUGCGUAACGCGUAUGCAAUCUACCUUAAUCAGGGGGAUAGCCCGGAGAAAUCCGGAUUAACACCGCAUAACAUUGAGUUGUGGCAUCACAGUUCAAUCAAAUAUUUAUAGGAUUAAGAUGAGCAUGCGUGACAUUAGUUAGUUGGUGAGGUAACGGCUCACCAAGACCACGAUGUCUAGGGGAUCUGAGAGGAUGACCCCCCACACUGGUACUGAGACACGGACCAGACUCCUACGGGAGGCAGCAGUAAGGAAUAUUGGUCAAUGGGCGCAAGCCUGAACCAGCCAUGCCGCGUGCAGGAAGACGGCCCUAUGGGUUGUAAACUGCUUUUGUACCGGAAUAAACCUUCUCUUGCGAGAGAAGCUGAACGUACGGUAAGAAUAAGGAUCGGCUAACUCCGU